rnacentral:rRNA from 1 species
AGAGUUUGAUCAUGGCUCAGAUUGAACGCUGGCGGCAGGCCUAACACAUGCAAGUCGAGCGGUAGCACAGGAGAGCUUGCUCUCUGGGUGACGAGCGGCGGACGGGUGAGUAAUGUCUGGGAAACUGCCUGAUGGAGGGGGAUAACUACUGGAAACGGUAGCUAAUACCGCAUAACGUCUUCGGACCAAAGUGGGGGACCUUCGGGCCUCACGCCAUCAGAUGUGCCCAGAUGGGAUUAGCUAGUAGGUGGGGUAAUGGCUCACCUAGGCGACGAUCCCUAGCUGGUCUGAGAGGAUGACCAGCCACACUGGAACUGAGACACGGUCCAGACUCCUACGGGAGGCAGCAGUGGGGAAUAUUGCACAAUGGGCGCAAGCCUGAUGCAGCCAUGCCGCGUGUGUGAAGAAGGCCUUCGGGUUGUAAAGCACUUUCAGCGAGGAGGAAGGGUAGUGUGUUAAUAGCACAUUGCAUUGACGUUACUCGCAGAAGAAGCACCGGCUAACUCCGUGCCAGCAGCCGCGGUAAUACGGAGGGUGCAAGCGUUAAUCGGAAUUACUGGGCGUAGAGCGCACGCAGGCGGUUUGUUAAGUCAGAUGUGAAAUCCCCGCGCUUAACGUGGGAACUGCAUUUGAAACUGGCAAGCUAGAGUCUUGUAGAGGGGGGUAGAAUUCCAGGUGUAGCGGUGAAAUGCGUAGAGAUCUGGAGGAAUACCGGUGGCGAAGGCGGCCCCCUGGACAAAGACUGACGCUCAGGUGCGAAAGCGUGGGGAGCAAACAGGAUUAGAUACCCCGGUAGUCCAA